rnacentral:rRNA from 1 species
UACGUAGGUGGCGAGCGUUGUCCGGAUUUACUGGGCGUAAAGAGCGCGCAGGCGGUCGUACAAGUCGCGUGUGAAAGCCCCUGGCUCAACUGGGGAGGGUCACGCGAUACUGUUCGACUUGAAGGCAGGAGAGGGAAGUGGAAUUCCCGGUGUAGUGGUGAAAUGCGUAGAUAUCGGGAGGAACACCAGUGGCGAAGGCGACUUCCUGGCCUGUUCUUGACGCUGAGGCGCGAAAGCGUGGGGAGCGAACAGG